GACGAACGCUGGCGGCGUGCUUAACACAUGCAAGUCGAGCGGAAAGGCCCUUCGGGGUACUCGAGCGGCGAACGGGUGAGUAACACGUGAGUAACCUGCCCCAGACUUUGGGAUAACCCUCGGAAACGGGGGCUAAUACCGGAUACGACACAGCUUCGCAUGGGGUCUGUGUGGAAAGUUUUUCGGAUUGGGAUGGGCUCGCGGCCUAUCAGCUUGUUGGUGGGGUGAUGGCCUACCAAGGCGACGACGGGUAGCCGGCCUGAGAGGGCGACCGGCCACACUGGGACUGAGACACGGCCCAGACUCCUACGGGAGGCAGCAGUGGGGAAUAUUGCACAAUGGGCGGAAGCCUGAUGCAGCGACGCCGCGUGAGGGAUGACGGCCUUCGGGUUGUAAACCUCUUUCAGCAGGGACGAAGCGUAAGUGACGGUACCUGCAGAAGAAGCGCCGGCCAACUACGUG
rnacentral:rRNA from 1 species